rnacentral:rRNA from 1 species
GACGAACGCUGGCGGCGUGCUUAACACAUGCAAGUCGAACGGAAAGGCCCUGCUUUUGUGGGGUUCUCGAUUGGCGAACGGGUGAGUAACACGUGUGUAACCUGCCCUUGACUUUGUGAUAACUUCAGGAAACUGGGGCUAAUACCGUAUAUGAGCUCCUGCUGCAUGGUGGUGGUUGGAAAGUUUCGGCGGUUGGGGAUGGACUCGCGGCUUAUCAGCUUGUUGGUGGGGUAGUGGCUUACCAAGGCUUUGACGGGUAGCCGGCCUGAGAGGGUGACCGGCGACAUUGGGACUGAGAUACGGCCCAGACUCCUACGGGAGGCAGCAGUGGGGAAUAUUGCACAAUGGGCGGAAGCAUGAUGCAGCAACGCCGCGAGCGGGAUGACGGCCUUCGGGUUGUAAACCGAUUUCGACUGUGACGAAGAGUGAGUGACGGUAAUGGGUAAAGAAGCACCGGCUAACUACGUG